GGGAUUCAUGGCUUUUUCGCUUCCUCUGGAAAGCAGGAAGCUAUCACAGCCUAACUGCGUAUUUUUGGGGUUACUUGACUAGAAAUUUCCUUGUUGUGUUGCAGGCCUGCCUCCCCCGGGCUCCUUCCCGCCGCCGGUGCCGCCGCCCGGGGCGCUGCCCCCCGGGAUGCCCCCGGCCAUGCCCCCCCCGCCCAUGCCCCCGGGCGCCGGAGCCCCCGGGCCGCCCUCGGGAGCUGCCCCUGCUGGGGGACACCCCCCUCACCCACACCCCUUCCCGCCAGGAGGGAUGCACCACCCAGGAAUGCCACCCAUGCAGGUGCACCACGGCCCCCCUGGCAUGGGGCAGCACCACCCGGGACCACCAGGCUCAGGAGGGCAGCCACCCCCCCGGCCCCCCCCAGGAAUGCCACACCCCGGACCCCCCCCAAUGGGGCUCCCCCCUCGGGGGCCACAUUUUGGAUCUCCAAUGGGUCACCCCGGGCCGCUGCCGCACCACGGGCUCCGCGGGCCCCCCCCGCUGAUGCCACCCCACGGCUACAAUGGACCCCCCAGGCCCCCCCCCUACGGCUACCAGAGGGUCCCUCUGCCCCCUCGACCAGCUCAGAGACCCCCUGGAGUCCCCCCCCGCUCCGGGCCCCUGCGGGGACCCCUGCCCUGAGAGCGGGGGGACCCUCUGCUCCCCAUCCUUCCCCAGCCCUUGGUAUCCACAUUCCCACUCCUGCAAAGCGCUGGGGGCCAUCCCCUGCUCCUCCCUUCCCUCCCCAUUUCUUCCCCCCAUUUGUUUUUAUAGUGUUAAUUUUCCUCCCUCUCUCCAUCUCCUCCCGUUUCUCUUCCCCUGGAAGCUUUUCCAAGCUCCUUUUUACUGGGUUUUUGUUGGUUUUGUAUGGAAAGCAGUGGCCAACCACUUGCAAAUAAAGGAUUUAGGAACCAAAAGGGUUUCUGGAUUGGGACUG
rnacentral:lncRNA from 1 species